CCUAGCCCUAGAGGCAUUGCAGGUGUGGCUGCUGUGUCUGUCACUUGUGCAUCAGUAGGUGGCAGAGAGGAGAGAGACUAUGUCUAUACUCAUUAUGAAUAUCUGAAUGGCUGAUAGCCUAACAUC